rnacentral:rRNA from 1 species
GGGAAGUGAAACAUCUCAGUACCCACAGGAAGAGAAAACAAAAGUGAUUCCGUUAGUAGUGGCGAGCGAACGCGGAUGGGGGCUAAACCGUAUGUGUGUGAUACCCGGCAGGGGGUUGCAUGUGCGGUGUUGUGGGGCCCCCUCCUUGUCAUGUCUGCCGGCAUGGCGCAGUGAGGUGCGGGGCAUAUAGACGAACAGUGUGGAUGCUGGACCUAGAGGGGUGAGAGUCCCCGUAGUCGAAAAUGUGUUCCGCCGCUGUUUGGGGGGGGGUUUGCCCCGAGUAGCACGGGGGGCCCCGAGGGAAUCCCCGUGUGAAUCUGCCAGGACCACCUGGUAAGCCUGAAUACUACCUGUUGACCGAUAGCGGAUCAGUACCGUGAGGGAAUGGUGAAAAAGUACCCCGGGGAGGGGAGUGAAAUAGUACCUGAAACCAUGUGCCUACAAACCGUUGGAGCCUUCUUGUGGGGU